rnacentral:rRNA from 1 species
UACGAAGGGGGCUAGCGUUGUUCGGAUUUACUGGGCGUAAAGCGCACGUAGGCGGAUACUUAAGUCAGGGGUGAAAUCCUGGAGCUCAACUCCAGAACUGCCUUUGAUACUGGGGAUCUCGAGUCCGGAAGAGGUGAGUGGAACUGCGAGUGUAGAGGUGAAAUUCGUAGAUAUUCGCAAGAACACCAGUGGCGAAGGCGGACUCACUGGUCCGGUACUGACGCUGAGGUGCGAAAGCGUGGGGAGCAACAGG